UUAAAUUGAAGAGUUUGAUCAUGGCUCAGAUUGAACGCUGGCGGCAGGCCUAACACAUGCAAGUCGAACGGUAACAGGAAGCAGCUUGCUGCUUUGCUGACGAGUGGCGGACGGGUGAGUAAUGUCUGGGAAACUGCCUGAUGGAGGGGGAUAACUACUGGAAACGGUAGCUAAUACCGCAUAACGUCGCAAGACCAAAGAGGGGGACCUUCGGGCCUCUUGCCAUCGGAUGUGCCCAGAUGGGAUUAGCUAGUAGGUGGGGUAACGGCUCACCUAGGCGACGAUCCCUAGCUGGUCUGAGAGGAUGACCAGCCACACUGGAACUGAGACACGGUCCAGACUCCUACGGGAGGCAGCAGUGGGGAAUAUUGCACAAUGGGCGCAAGCCUGAUGCAGCCAUGCCGCGUGUAUGAAGAAGGCCUUCGGGUUGUAAAGUACUUUCAGCGGGGAGGAAGGGAGUAAAGUUAAUACCUUUGCUCAUUGACGUUACCCGCAGAAGAAGCACCGGCUAACUCCGUGCCAGCAGCCGCGGUAAUACGGAGGGUGCAAGCGUUAAUCGGAAUUACUGGGCGUAAAGCGCACGCAGGCGGUUUGUUAAGUCAGAUGUGAAAUCCCCGGGCUCAACCUGGGAACUGCAUCUGAUACUGGCAAGCUUGAGUCUCGUAGAGGGGGGUAGAAUUCCAGGUGUAGCGGUGAAAUGCGUAGAGAUCUGGAGGAAUACCGGUGGCGAAGGCGGCCCCCUGGACGAAGACUGACGCUCAGGUGCGAAAGCGUGGGGAGCAAACAGGAUUAGAUACCCUGGUAGUCCACGCCGUAAACGAUGUCGACUUGGAGGUUGUGCCCUUGAGGCGUGGCUUCCGGAGCUAACGUGUUAAGUCGACCGCCUGGGGAGUACGGCCGCAAGGUUAAAACUCAAAUGAAUUGACGGGGGCCCGCACAAGCGGUGGAGCAUGUGGUUUAAUUCGAUGCAACGCGAAGAACCUUACCUGGUCUUGACAUCCACGGAAGUUUUCAGAGAUGAGAAUGUGCCUUCGGGAACCGUGAGACAGGUGCUGCAUGGCUGUCGUCAGCUCGUGUUGUGAAAUGUUGGGUUAAGUCCCGCAACGAGCGCAACCCUUAUCCUUUGUUGCCAGCGGUCCGGCCGGGAACUCAAAGGAGACUGCCAGUGAUAAACUGGAGGAAGGUGGGGAUGACGUCAAGUCAUCAUGGCCCUUACGACCAGGGCUACACACGUGCUACAAUGGCGCAUACAAAGAGAAGCGACCUUGCGAGAGCAAGCGGACCUCAUAAAGUGCGUCGUAGUCCGGAUUGGAGUCUGCAACUCGACUCCAUGAAGUCGGAAUCGCUAGUAAUCGUGGAUCAGAAUGCCACGGUGAAUACGUUCCCGGGCCUUGUACACACCGCCCGUCACACCAUGGGAGUGGGUUGCAAAAGAAGUAGGUAGCUUAACCUUCGGGAGGGCGCUUACCACUUUGUGAUUCAUGACUGGGGUGAAGUCGUAACAAGGUAACCGUAGGGGAACCUGCGGUUGGAUCACCUCCUUACCUUAAAGAAGC
rnacentral:rRNA from 1 species